rnacentral:rRNA from 1 species
GUGAGGUAAUGGCUCACCAAGGCAUCGACGGGUAGCUGGUCUGAGAGGACGAUCAGCCACACUGGGACUGAGACACGGCCCAGACUCCUACGGGAGGCAGCAGUGGGGAAUCUUGCGCAAUGGGCGAAAGCCUGACCCAGCAACGCCGCGUGAGGGAAGACGGCUCUCGGGUUGUAAACCUCUUUCAGCAGGGACGAAAUUGACGGUACCUGCUAUUCAAGCGCCGGCCAACUACGUGCCAACAGCCGCGGCAACACGUUCGGCGCAAGCGUUGUCCGGAUUUAUUGGGCGUAAAGAGCUCGUAGGCGGCUUCGUAAGUCGGGUGUGAAAACUCAGGGCUCAACUCUGAGACGCCACCCGAUACUGCGAUGACUUGAGUCCGGCUCAGGACUGCGGAAUUCCUGGUGUAGAGGUGAAAUGCGCAUAUAUCAGUGAGGAACACCAAUUCCGAAGGCUCUACUCUGGGCCGGUACUGACGCUGAGGAAUCAAAGCAUGGGGAGCGACUGAGAUUAGAUACCCUGGUAGUCCAUGCCGAAUACGUUGGGCACUAGGUGUGGGUCUCAUCCAACGAGAUCCGUGCCGUAGCUAAUUGAUUAAGUG